AACCUAGAGGCGCUCCCGCGCGAGCCCCGCCGCUUCCAGUCCGCCCUCGCCCGGCCCGGCGCAGGUCGCUCCCUCCUCCCAGCCGCGUCCGCACUUUUCCCCCGGCAGGGGGCCCAGGUCGAGCUGGGCCAAUCCCGCGCGCGCCGCGCAGGACCCCUCCCGGAGGCCCGGGGCGCGGUGGCUUCCCUUCGUCCAAACGGGGGGUGUCUCCUCCAUCACCCCAGCCGCAGCUUCCCAGCCGGAGUCGGGCUGCCGGACGAGGGAGGCGCGCUCCUCUGCGGCCGGGGUCUGGGGGGUGCCAGCGCGCCCCCGAGUGAGCGGUUGGGGACGGCGCGGAGCCGCCGACCCGCCGCGCGCCCUCCGGUCCCGGAGCGGCCCCAGCCUGCGCCCCCGCGGGCCCCGCACCUCGCCUGGGCCCUGCCCUGUCCUGCCGCGUGGCGGCCUCUCCGCACCCCGAGUCCCGGGGCCGACAUGCAGACUCUCACGGUUUUGAAGAAGAAAACUCUAGGGCAGGAAAGUGGAGGGAGCCUGCAGCAGAGACGGGAAUGGAAUGAUCACUUCAGCUGCUGUGAAGUCAAGUGGGCCAAGAGAUGAGCAGCCAAGCACAGAUCCAGCAGGAUGUGUAUAACUUAACCAGAUUGUUUCUACAAUAAACAUGCGUUAGGUGAAGAUGAAAAAGGACUGUUAUACGCUAAACCACUCAAGCCCAAACACAGGGAAGAAGAUACAGGUAGGUAACUAUACCUUUCAGAUUGCAAAAUUAAAUUCUUUCAGAUGCAAAUAACCCUCUUGGAUGAAGGCUUUUGUGUUAACUGGAUGUGUAGAUUAAUUUAUUUGUCUAGUAGAGAAGUACUUUGUCUUGCAAGUCUGCC
rnacentral:lncRNA from 1 species